rnacentral:rRNA from 1 species
AGUGCUUGCACUUGGAUGGACUGAGUGGCGGACGGGUGAGUAACGCGUGGGUAACCUGCCUUAUACAGGGGGAUAACAGUUGGAAACGACUGCUAAUACCGCAUAAUGUACCGAGAGGGCAUCCUCAUGGUACCAAAGAUUUAUCGCUGAAAGAUGAGUUCGCGUCUGAUUAGCUAGUUGGUGGGGUAACGGCCCACCAAGGCGACGAUCAGUAGCCGGGUUGAGAGACUGACCGGCCACAUUGGGACUGAGAUACGGCCCAGACUCC